GUGCUCUCUUUGGCAGCACAUACACUAAAACUGUAAUAAUACAGAGAAGAGUGGCAUAGUACUGUGCAGGUAUGACAUGCAUUCAUGAAGCAUUCACUUAAAAAUU